rnacentral:rRNA from 1 species
CCUACGGGAGGCAGCAGUGAGGAAUAUUGGUCAAUGGGUUUACGCCUGAACCAGCCAAGUCGCGUGAGGGAAGACUGCCCUAUGGGUUGUAAACCUCUUUUGUCAGGGAGCAAUUGGCGCUACGUGUAGCGUUAUCGAGAGUACCUGAAGAAAAAGCAUCGGCUAACUCCGUGCCAGCAGCCGCGGUAAUACGGAGGAUGCGAGCGUUAUCCGGAUUGAUUGGGUUUAAAGGGUGCGUAGGCGGAAUGCCAAGUCAGCGGUAAAAUCGCGGGGCUCAACCUCGCUCCGCCGUUGAAACUGGCGUUCUUGAGUGGGCGAGAAGUAUGCGGAAUGCGUGGUGUAGCGGUGAAAUGCAUAGAUAUCACGCAGAACUCCGAUUGCGAAGGCAGCAUACCGGCGCCCAACUGACGCUGAAGCACGAAAGCGUGGGUAUCGAACAGGAUUAGAUACCCGGGUAGUC